CGCUGGCGGCAGGCUUAACACAUGCAAGUCGAGCGGGGGAAGGUAGCUUGCUACUGGACCUAGCGGCGGACGGGUGAGUAAUGCUUAGGAAUCUGCCUAUUAGUGGGGGACAACAUCUCGAAAGGGAUGCUAAUACCGCAUACGUCCUACGGGAGAAAGCAGGGGAUCUUCGGACCUUGCGCUAAUAGAUGAGCCUAAGUCGGAUUAGCUAGUUGGUGGGGUAAAGGCCUACCAAGGCGACGAUCUGUAGCGGGUCUGAGAGGAUGAUCCGCCACACUGGGACUGAGACACGGCCCAGACUCCUACGGGAGGCAGCAGUGGGGAAUAUUGGACAAUGGGGGGAACCCUGAUCCAGCCAUGCCGCGUGUGUGAAGA
rnacentral:rRNA from 2 species